rnacentral:rRNA from 1 species
AUUGAACGCUGGCGGCAGGCCUAACACAUGCAAGUCGAGCGGAUGAAGGGAGCUUGCUCCUGGCUUCAGCGGCGGACGGGCGAGUAAUGCCUAGGAAUCUGCCUGGUCGUGGGGGAUAACGUCCGGAAACGGGCGCUAAUACCGCAUACGUCCUGAGGGAGAAAGUGGGGGAUCUUCGGACCUCACGCUAUCAGAUGAGCCUAGGUCGGAUUAGCUAGUUGGUGGGGUAAAGGCCUACCAAGGCGACGAUCCGUAACUGGUCUGAGAGGAUGAUCAGUCACACUGGAACUGAGACACGGUCCAGACUCCUACGGGAGGCAGCAGUGGGGAAUAUUGGACAAUGGGCGAAAGCCUGAUCCAGCCAUGCCGCGUGUGUGAAGAAGGUCUUCGGAUUGUAAAGCACUUUAAGUUGGGAGGAAGGGCAGUAAGUUAAUACCUUGCUGUUUUGACGUUACCAACAGAAUAAGCACCGGCUAACUACGUG